UAUUCAGAAUGGCCUUGGUCAUUUGGAUUAUAUGUCACCAAGGUCUUUCUGAGUAGA
rnacentral:pre_miRNA from 1 species